UGGGGAUAGAACAUUGCAAUUAUUGUUCUUCAACGAGGAAUGCCUAGUAAGCGCGAGUCAUCAUCUCGCGUUGAUUACGUCCCUGCCCUUUGUACACACCGCCCGUCGCUCCUACCGAUUGAACGUGCUGGUGAAGCGUUAGGACUGGAACUUUGGGCCGGUUUCCCUGCCCAUCGUUUCGGGAAUUUCGUUGAACCCUCCCGUUUAGAGGAAGGAGAAGUCGUAACAAGGUCUCCGUAGGUGAACCUGCGGAGGGAUCAUUGAAACCGAUCAAACCAAUCACAGAGCACUUGCGGGCGCUCACCUCCUCCCGUCCGCGGGGGUGGGGUGGGGCGGCCCGCCGUUUAUUGGGACCGCCGGUGCAGGAGCCUUCCCCCCUCGCGGGGGGCUGGCCCCGGCCGAUCCGGACCCCUUAACCCAUUGAACCCUCUGCCCUGAAGCAGCUUCGUAUGGGGACACCCCUGCGAUAGUAACUGAGACAACUCUCAACAACGGAUAUCUUGGCUCUCGCAACGAUGAAGAACGCAGCGAAAUGCGAUACGUAGUGUGAAUUGCAGAAUUCCGUGAGUCAUCGAAUCUUUGAACGCACAUUGCCGGUCGACUCUUCGGAGGAGACCACAUCUGCCUCAGCGUCGGAAUACCCCCUCACGCACUCCCGCGUGGACCUGGCCCCCUCGGACCACACCGGUCCGGGCUGGCUGAAAUACAGAGGCUCGUGCGCGGCCCAUUCGUGGCCCCGACUAGGUAGGUAGCUCGCUACUUCUAGGCGGAGGCUCGGCGUCGCGUGCUCUGGGCCCGAAAGGAUACCCAUCCAUUCAUUCGACCUGAGUUCAGGUGAGGCUA
rnacentral:rRNA from 1 species